AUUUUUCCUCCUUUUGAGUGCGUUCCUCCUUUCAUCUCAAGCCCUAAUUUUUCCUGGCGCUGGCACCGCCGCCACCGUCUGUGUAGCUCUACACGGUCACUGUCAUUGCACACCAACGCAUCCUCCUCCUUUUCAUUAGUACAAACCCUAAACCUCAUCUCAUUGUGAUAUCUCUCUCACUCGCGAUCUAAAUCCUUGAUGUCGCUACUUGAUCGUCGACUCGCCUCCCUUCGUUCUUCGCUAUCGUCGCCGGUUGUUUUUGUUGCUGCUGGUUGUCACUGCUAUCGUCGCCCAGAAACCAUGGGAUUGUGCUUGCAGUUAUCACGAGCGCAUAAAACAAAAGGGCAGUCUUUUCUUAUUCUUUCCAGCAAAUCAAAUUCAGAUGUUCUCUUCGCGCUAUUCGGUGUGCUAUGUUAAUUCUCGAGGGGCAAGUUAGAUGGAUGGAAUUGAUACAAGCUUGGAGAAAAUUUUAUUUCAUCUUCGAAUCAUGGAUACCCUUACUCGAUGGGUGAGUUAUGGUUAAGUUUAAGAGUGCAUGUGGGAUUGAAUAAGCAUUCAUCGGGAAGCUUGUAUUGAGAGGGCAGGUGGCCUCCUGGCCGCAUGUGGAUGGUUAGGCCAAGCGGCUGACGUCACAAGGUCGUCUAGGAGGCUAGGCUGCCACGAGGCCGUGCAUCCAGGAGGUCGCCCGACCAAGAGACCGCCUAACCUCCGUGCCGACUAAAGGCUGCUUGGCCAGGCGACCGCGUGCAAGAGGUCACCCGGACGGCUAGCUGGUCCGAGUGGGCGUGGGCUGGAAAGUAGGACAUGGAGCAUUCAUUAAGGAUGAAUCGGGCUGGAAGUAGAGCAUUUUUUUAUGAAGACUGUAUUGAAUGCUUUGUGGCCUCGAGCGAGACCGAGCAUGGUUGAUAAUGCCCAUGAGCUACGUCAUCCGUGGCUGCGAGUGAAGUUAUCUGUGGCCGCGAGGUUGUUCAUGGUCAAGGGCGGAGGCAUGUGUUAACCUACUUGGGCUUUACCCCACGGUACAUUUUAGGAUUUAGAGAAGAAACUUAUAUAUUUAGGAAUUUUUCUAUACAUUUAAUCAUUUUAGUCCAUUUUCACCUGAUCAUUCAUAAAUUUGUAAAUCAAAUUUUGCGACCAAUACGGGAUAUAUAUAUAUAUAUAAAAUCAACCAACCAAC